GCCACCGCCUACCCCGCAUUUUCUUCUCCCCCGAUUUAACCGGCUCUCUUCUCCCUACGACCGCAGCCCCGAUUACAGCGAUCGGCGACGGUGGAUCGGUGGAGGCCGCCCCACCGGCUGAGCUCGUAUCCACGCCCACAUCCUACCCCGCGAGAAGCCGGCCCUCUUCUCCCCCCAAUUGCAGCGACCGGCUACGGAAGAUUGGAGGAGGCCGCCUCACUGCGGCACCGCCGAACAUAGAUCCGCCGCAUCACCCGCCCUGCGAGCACCAGGCUCUCUUCUCCCCUGCGAUCGGCGACGUCUCUCUGUUCCACUAUAUCCUGCUUCACACUUACAGAAUGAAAACCGAUGGGGAGAAUAUCAGAGUAGGAUUUUUGAUGGUUCUCAUAUCUUUCACGGCUUCAUUAACUAUUUACAUUCUGUGUAUAUAAAUUAAAUAUAUGUAAUCACGAUGGCAGUUCGGAUUCCGUAUUAUAGAUGCUGUUUGUUUGGUAUGUGCUUGUACGGAUACUCUUGCGUACAGAAACUGUGAAGAUGAUACUCUUAUACACUGUUCAAAAAAUCUUCCGAUUCAGCGAUUAAUCUUCCGAUUUAUCGCUACUCAUGGGGUGACCGAUAAGAUUAUGCCUUAUCUUCACCGUUUAUCUUUUGGACUGAUUUAUCGCUCUGACAAGCGAGUUAUUGGGAAUCUACCGAUAAAUCGGACCUAUUCAUAGCAUAUGUUUGCAAAAACUAUGUUUAUUUGCGUUUUGUGGUCUUUGUUAUGCAAUAUGUACUGUUGUCCAAUUUUUUUGCCAUUAUACGAGGAUUCAAAGGCUAGGAAUCAAGAUAAUACUUCUGUCAAAUAUUAUUUUGGUGUUGAAUAUAGCGUAUUUUAGUGUUGGGUAACUGGGAUUUGCAAAAAAAUGUCUGAUUAAUAGUCGAUCGAUAAAAUCAAUUAAUCGACCGAUUUCCGAUUAAUCUCUAAUCCCCAGCUGACCGAGACGCUAACGAUAAGCGAUAUCCUCAACAUUGCUCUUAUAUGUUAGUGUGAAGAUGAUGUUCAUGGGCUUAGAAUUUUGGUGUUUGUAUAUUUGAGUAGGCACAGGUACUGUGAAUAUUUGAAUUUUUGCCAGACACCACGAUAUGUUAGGAUGGUCGAUGUACAUUUCAUUGGGUCUUAUGAUCCAUUAUCAUCGAUUACACUUGCAUGAUUUCCAGUGCAGAGCCGCAGGAAUUAGUCACUAAUGACAUACCUUUCUGUAGACAAUAUUUGCCUGACUGCCUAUGGUUACUGUAAAUUUUAUUUGUUCUUUUUGGAUUGUUCUGUUCCUCAUAUGUCGACACUUCAAGCUGGUACGACUUUUCCUUUAUUUUUCCCUUGAGGAAUCAUGGUCUCUUGGUGAAAAAAUGAUUCAAUGGUAGUUAAAUUCAUGGAAAUUGGGAGAUGCGUUGCAGGUUUCAGAAAAAAUAAGCUUUGACCAACAUUCAAUUUUCCAUUAGAUGCAUAAUCUUAAACUUCAGUUUGUGACUGUAUCCUGACAUACUAAACUGGUAAAAUCAAGCUGAUUGUUAACUUGUUACAUAAAUGUCUAGCUAUAAGUGGAGUGUCCACUCCUUGAAUAAGCUGCUCCUAGUUUAGAAACAUAGAGCACCAUCCAUCGAGCCUUAGUUUUGAAAGAGUAUAGUAAACUUUCUGGUUUUCUGAACUAUGCCAGCACCUACAGUAAUGUUAUUAUUUGUGUUGUUUUUUGUUCUGAACUUACUGGUGUUGUUUUUCUAGGCUUGUUGGCUGCUUCUCCUUGACCGUGCCCCGGUUGCAUCCUGCAUGUUGCUUGCUUCAUUUGUUACAUCACAAUGCAUGAAAUCUUCAUUUUCUGUUUAUGUAAUCUGACAUGAACUGCUUGUUAGCAGUGUCGCAUGUUUAACAUUAUUUUACACAAUCUAGGUCUUUUGGCAAUUCAUUCAUUUCACGCCCGGUCAUCUUUUCCAGCUUCAGUUACUAAAAUCAUGCCACCAGUUCUGGAGACUGAGAGGGGAAGCAGGGAAUAUCUCGCGGAACGAAAAAUAAAGCGUGAGGCGUAUUUGAAAGAAAGAGGAGGAAGGAAAGGAGAUGAAGAGGAGGCCGCUCUUCCUAUGUGCAAAGCAAUGGCACAAGGAUGAGUUACCCGUGAGACUUGAAGCACAAGAUAGAGCAUUUGAAGAGAUGUAGAGGAAGCAUCAAGAAGAAUUGGACGUUGUGAAGAAGAGCCAACAAGAGAAGAAUGAAGCUUGGGAAAAGAAGCAACAUGAGACGGAUAACCUGAUCGGUAUCCUCUCAAGUGCUCAAGCAACUUAGCAAGAAAGUCAGCCCAAACUUGAUGGUGCAUGAAGACCAUCCUUUUGUGAUAGAAAGAUAGUUGCUGAAUCAUACAUUGCAAUAUUUAGGACAACACAUGUGAUCUUUCAGUUAUGAAAAUAUUACUUUUUAUCUUGUCUAUUGUCAUGUCAAACUUGAGUCAGCGUUAUUUUUAUUAUCAUUUCUACUUGG